rnacentral:rRNA from 1 species
AUUGAACGCUGGCGGCAGGCCUAACACAUGCAAGUCGAACGAGUGGCGGACGGGUGAGUAAUGUCUGGGAAACUGCCUGAUGGAGGGGGAUAACUACUGGAAAAGGUAGCUAAUACCGCAUACCAUCAGAUGUGCCCAGAUGGGAUUAGCUAGUUGGUGGGGUAACGGCUCACAAAGGCGACGAUCCCUGGCUGGUCUGAGAGGUGGACCGGCCAAACUGGAACUGAGAAACGGUCCAGACUCCUAGGGUGGGAAGCAGGGGGGAAUAUUGCAAAAUGGGGGAAAGCCUGAGGCAGCCAUGCCGCGUGGAGGAAGAGGGCUUUCGGGUUGUAAAGUACUUUCAGCGGGGAGGCGUUACCCGCAGAAGAAGCACCGGCUAACUCCGUGCCAGCAGCCGCGGUAAUUC